AUUGAACGCUGGCGGAAUGCUUUACACAUGCAAGUCGAACGGCAGCACGGGUGCUUGCACCUGGUGGCGAGUGGCGAACGGGUGAGUAAUGCAUCGGAACGUACCCAGUUAUGGGGGAUAACUAACCGAAAGGUUAGCUAAUACCGCAUACGCCCUGAGGGGGAAAGCGGGGGACCGUAAGGCCUCGCGUAAUUGGAGCGGCCGAUGUCUGAUUAGCUAGUUGGUGAGGUAAAGGCUCACCAAGGCGACGAUCAGUAGCAGGUCUGAGAGGAUGAUCUGACACACUGGAACUGAGACACGGUCCAGACUCCUACGGGAGGCAGCAGUGGGGAAUUUUGGACAAUGGGCGAAAGCCUGAUCCAGGCAUUCCGCGUGCAGGAUGAAGGCCCUCGGGUUGUAAACUGCUUUUGUACAGAACGAAAAGGUUUCUACUAAUACUAGGAGCUCAUGACGGUACUGUAAGAAUAAGCACCGGCUAACUACGUGCCAGCCGCCGCCGUAA
rnacentral:rRNA from 1 species